AACGAACGCUGGCGGCAGGCCUUACACAUGCAAGUCGAGCGAGGACUCCGGAUCUGGCGGCGGACGGGUGAGGAACGCGUGGGAACGUGCCCUUUGCUUCGGCCUAUCCUUGGGAAACUGCGAGUAAUAUCGGAUGAGACCUGUGGGGUGAAGAUUUAUCGGCGAAGGGUAGGCGCGCAUCGUAUUGGGUAGUGGGCGGGCGAAUGGCCUAUUAAGCCGACGAUCGAUAGCUGGUUAGGGAGGAAGGUCAGCGACUCUGGGACUGAGACACGGUCGGGACUCUUACGUGAGGCAGCAAUGGCGGAUCUUAGCAAGUGGGGUAAGCAAUGAUCUAGCCAGGCCGCGUAAGCGUUGAAGUCCUUAGAGUUGUAAAGCGCUUUAAGCUGGGGAGAUAAUGACGGUACCAGCAGAAGAAGCACCGGCUAACUCCGUG
rnacentral:rRNA from 1 species